GGAGAGAGUUUUUAUUCCUCGCAUCCCCGUUAUACCCUCUGAUCUCCCAUUUCAAUUCAAACGCCUCCAAUUUCCACUAAGGCUCUGCUUCGCAAUGACAAUUAAUAAGUCUCAGGGACAGACCCUACAAAAGGUUGCCAUUGAUUUGAGGCAAGAUUGCUUUUCUCCUGUACAACUAUACGUUGCAUUCUCAAUAGUAAGCUUGCACAGCUUGGUCAUAUUACAACCGGAGUGCUGAACUGACAACAUGGUAUACAAAGAGAACUAUAACAAUCGUAAUAAACGAACAAUAAAACAGCAGAGAACCCGUGGAUUAAAUAAAAAGGCAGCUUCCUUGGCGAA